rnacentral:misc_RNA from 1 species
GUAGGUGAACCUGCGGAAGGAUCAUUAUCACGUAUCCACGUAUAAACCAUUGUGAACCGUUUUUUUAACCUCUGCAAAACCGGGCUGCCAUGAAGUGUAAAAAGUUUGUGACAAGCCGGCGAGUACCAGAGCGUAUUUAUCUAUUAACCAUUUUUAACCAAUCUUUAUAACUUUAUGAACUAACUUUAUUUUAUACUCUUCGGAGAUAAAAUUCAUUACGAAACAAAGAACAACUCUUAGCAACGGAUAUCUUGGUUCUC